UGGGGAAUAUUGGACAAUGGGCGAAAGCCUGAUCCAGCCAUGCCGCGUGUGUGAAGAAGGUCUUCGGAUUGUAAAGCACUUUAAGUUGGGAGGAAGGGCAGUAAGCGAAUACCUUGCUGUUUUGACGUUACCGACAGAAUAAGCACCGGCUAACUCUGUGCCAGCAGCCGCGGUAAUACAGAGGGUGCAAGCGUUAAUCGGAAUUACUGGGCGUAAAGCGCGCGUAGGUGGUUCGUUAAGUUGAAUGUGAAAGCCCCGGGCUCAACCUGGGAACUGCAUCCAAAACUGGCGAGCUAGAGUAGGGCAGAGGGUGGUGGAAUUUCCUGUGUAGCGGUGAAAUGCGUAGAUAUAGGAAGGAACACCAGUGGCGAAGGCGACCACCUGGGCUCAUACUGACACUGAGGUGCGAAAGCGUGGGUAGCAAACAGG
rnacentral:rRNA from 1 species